AUACGUAGGUGGCAAGCGUUGUCCGGAUUUACUGGGUGUAAAGGGCGUGUAGGCGGAGAUGCAAGUCAGGAGUGAAAUCUAGGGGCUCAACCCCUAAACUGCUUUUGAAACUGUAUCCCUUGAGUGCGUAAGAGGCAGGCGGAAUUCGUUGUGUAGCGGUUAAAUGCUUAGAUAUGACGAGGAACUCCUAUUGCGAAGGCAGCUUGCUGGGUCGUUACUGACGCUGAUGCUCGAAGGUGCGGGGAUCAAACAGGAUUAGAUACCCUGGUAGUCCGCACAGUAAACUAUGGAUACUCUCUGCCGGCGAUAUAUUGUCGGUGGCCAAGCGAAAGCGUUAAGUAUCCCACCUGGGGAGUACGUUCGCAAGAAUGAAACUUAAAGGAAUUGACGGGG
rnacentral:rRNA from 1 species